rnacentral:rRNA from 1 species
AGAGUUUGAUCCUGGCUCAGGAUGAACGCUAGCUACAGGCUUAACACAUGCAAGUCGAGGGGCAGCAUGGUCUUAGCUUGCUAAGACUGAUGGCGACCGGCGCACGGGUGAGUAACACGUAUCCAACCUGCCGUCUACUCUUGGACAGCCUUCUGAAAGGAAGAUUAAUACAAGAUGGCAUCAUGAGUCCGCAUGUUCACAUGAUUAAAGGUAUUCCGGUAGACGAUGGGGAUGCGUUCCAUUAGAUAGUAGGCGGGGUAACGGCCCACCUAGUCUUCGAUGGAUAGGGGUUCUGAGAGGAAGGUCCCCCACAUUGGAACUGAGACACGGUCCAAACUCCUACGGGAGGCAGCAGUGAGGAAUAUUGGUCAAUGGGCGAGAGCCUGAACCAGCCAAGUAGCGUGAAGGAUGACUGCCCUAUGGGUUGUAAACUUCUUUUAUAAAGGAAUAAAGUCGGGUAUGGAUACCCGUUUGCAUGUACUUUAUGAAUAAGGAUCGGCUAACUCCGUGCCAGCAGCCGCGGUAAUACGGAGGAUCCGAGCGUUAUCCGGAUUUAUUGGGUUUAAAGGGAGCGUAGAUGGAUGUUUAAGUCAGUUGUGAAAGUUUGCGGCUCAACCGUAAAAUUGCAGUUGAUACUGGAUAUCUUGAGUGCAGUUGAGGCAGGCGGAAUUCGUGGUGUAGCGGUGAAAUGCUUAGAUAUCACGAAGAACUCCGAUUGCGAAGGCAGCCUGCUAAGCUGCAACUGACAUUGAGGCUCGAAAGUGUGGGUAUCAAACAGGAUUAGAUACCCUGGUAGUCCACACGGUAAACGAUGAAUACUCGCUGUUUGCGAUAUACGGCAAGCGGCCAAGCGAAAGCGUUAAGUAUUCCACCUGGGGAGUACGCCGGCAACGGUGAAACUCAAAGGAAUUGACGGGGGCCCGCACAAGCGGAGGAACAUGUGGUUUAAUUCGAUGAUACGCGAGGAACCUUACCCGGGCUUAAAUUGCAGUGGAAUGAUGUGGAAACAUGUCAGUGAGCAAUCACCGCUGUGAAGGUGCUGCAUGGUUGUCGUCAGCUCGUGCCGUGAGGUGUCGGCUUAAGUGCCAUAACGAGCGCAACCCUUAUCUUCAGUUACUAACAGGUCAUGCUGAGGACUCUGGAGAGACUGCCGUCGUAAGAUGUGAGGAAGGUGGGGAUGACGUCAAAUCAGCACGGCCCUUACGUCCGGGGCUACACACGUGUUACAAUGGGGGGUACAGAAGGCAGCUAGCGGGUGACCGUAUGCUAAUCCCAAAAUCCUCUCUCAGUUCGGAUCGAAGUCUGCAACCCGACUUCGUGAAGCUGGAUUCGCUAGUAAUCGCGCAUCAGCCACGGCGCGGUGAAUACGUUCCCGGGCCUUGUACACACCGCCCGUCAAGCCAUGGGAGCCGGGGGUACCUGAAGUACGUAACCGCAAGGAUCGUCCUAGGGUAAAACUGGUGACUGGGGCUAAGUCGUAACAAGGUAGCCGUACCGGAAGGUGCGGCUG